rnacentral:rRNA from 1 species
CCUACGGGAGGCAGCAGUGGGGAAUAUUGCACAAUGGGCGCAAGCCUGAUGCAGCCAUGCCGCGUGUGUGAAGAAGGCCUUCGGGUUGUAAAGCACUUUCAGCGGGGAGGAAGGCGGUGAGGUUAAUAACCUCAUCGAUUGACGUUACCCGCAGAAGAAGCACCGGCUAACUCCGUGCCAGCAGCCGCGGUAAUACGGAGGGUGCAAGCGUUAAUCGGAAUUACUGGGCGUAAAGCGCACGCAGGCGGUCUGUCAAGUCGGAUGUGAAAUCCCCGGGCUCAACCUGGGAACUGCAUUCGAAACUGGCAGGCUAGAGUCUUGUAGAGGGGGGUAGAAUUCCCGGUGUAGCGGUGAAAUGCGUAGAGAUCUGGAGGAAUACCGGUGGCGAAGGCGGCCCCCUGGACAAAGACUGACGCUCAGGUGCGAAAGCGUGGGGAGCAAACAGGAUUAGAUACCCCGGUAGUC